rnacentral:tRNA from 1 species
CAUGGGGUAGUUUAAUUAAAAUACUAGUUUUGGGGACUAGUGAGGGGGCUUCAAGCCCCCCCCAUGA